rnacentral:tRNA from 1 species
GCCGCAUUGGUUCAAUAGUAGUAGCGUUGGUCUUGUAAACCGAAGGUUGCUGUUUAAAUCCCAGCAUGCGGGA